GCCUACGGGGGGCAGCAGUGGGGAAUAUUGCACAAUGGGGGAAACCCUGAUGCAGCGACGCCGCGUGAGUGAAGAAGUAUCUCGGUACGUAAAGCUCUAUCAGCAGGGAAGAAAAAAAGCCUUUGGCUUUGGACGGUACCUGACUAAGAAGCCCCGGCUAACUACGUGCCAGCAGCCGCGGUAAUACGUAGGUGGCAAGCGUUGUCCGGAUUUACUGGGUGUAAAGGGCGUGUAGCCGGGCUGACAAGUCAGAUGUGAAAUCCGGGGGCUCAACCUCCGAACUGCAUUUGAAACUGUUGGUCUUG
rnacentral:rRNA from 1 species